rnacentral:lncRNA from 1 species
GUGAAGGCGCAGGACGCGUGUCGCUGCGCGUAAUGGACCGCGUGUGUGCGCCCGUCCUUCCUUUGGCAUAGAUGAGCGAACAGUGGAUGGAGUGGGCGCGUGAAUCCAUCGCGUGUGACCGUUUUUCAUGAGCGGAGAGGACACGGACGCACUGACGAGUGAAAAGAAGCAGUCAUUGAUCAUCUGAUGAUCCAGCUUCAGCACCAACAUCCAGUGGGUUGGCAGUCUGCUAGUGAUGCCAGCGUCCCACUGAAGAGCCUCCCAAAGUGAACCUCCGUGGGUUCUCUCCUCCUCUUCCUCCUCUUCGUCCUCAGGCAGAUGGAUGAUGAUGUUGAUCCUUCGCUGCGGAGCCUCACACUGACAGAUGACGAGGGAUUCUCAGAGCGGGAGGGAAGAGCCAGAAAGAGACGCUUGUUCCCAGUCCUCCACGUCGCUGAGAAUUCAACCAGAACUUCUCCUCUACUGUAGAUGAAGAAACAUCACACGGACAAACACUUCCAACGCUACAACAUCAGGAUUCCAGAGACUGGCACAUAUCAACUUCGAAGGAUAUUCUCUGUCUAGCCGAGGACUAAAGACUACCAUGGAUGCGGCCUAUUCGGUCUCCAGAUUAGAGACACUUCGCAGUUCUUCCUGGGUUGGGGGUUAGGAUUGGAAGAAGAACCAAGAACCAGCCAGGAUUUGCAUGCUUUCUUUCAUGAACUUUGGUCAAUGACUUGUUGGCUUGACAUUGAGGACGCAAACCUUGCCAAACAAGGCAAUGACUUUUGCCGCGAGUAUUACUUGAUACAUACUGUGGCAAAUUAAAGACGCGCUCGUUGGUAAUGAGUUCCUAUCCCUAACCCCUUUUUCCUAAACCCCCCACCCUGGUUUUCCUUCCUUUUUUACCCCAAAAACCUGAGUGUUCUUUUCCAAGCUUCGUCAUCUUCGUCAAUGUCUGAUUCUCCAGAAAAAGAGUUGCUUCUUUUG